rnacentral:rRNA from 1 species
UACGGAGGGUGCAAACGUUGCUCGGAAUCAUUGGGCGUAAAGCGCACGUAGGCGGCUCGUUAAGUCGGGUGUGAAAGCCCUCGGCUCAACCGAGGAAGUGCAUUCGAAACUGGCGAGCUUGAAUAUGGAAGAGGGUCGCGGAAUUCCCGGUGUAGAGGUGAAAUUCGUAGAUAUCGGGAGGAACACCAGUGGCGAAGGCGGCGACCUGGGCAAUAUUGACGCUGAGGUGCGAAAGCGUGGGGAGCAAACAGG